UAUGAACGCUGGCGGCGUGCCUAAUACAUGCAAGUCGAGCGAACAGACGAGGAGCUUGCUCCUCUGACGUUAGCGGCGGACGGGUGAGUAACACGUGGAUAACCUACCUAUAAGACUGGGAUAACUUCGGGAAACCGGAGCUAAUACCGGAUAAUAUAUUGAACCGCAUGGUUCAAUAGUGAAAGACGGUUUUGCUGUCACUUAUAGAUGGAUCCGCGCCGCAUUAGCUAGUUGGUAAGGUAACGGCUUACCAAGGCAACGAUGCGUAGCCGACCUGAGAGGGUGAUCGGCCACACUGGAACUGAGACACGGUCCAGACUCCUACGGGAGGCAGCAGUAGGGAGUCUUCCGCAAUGGGCGAAAGCUUGACGGAGCAACGCCGCGUGAGUGAUGAAGGUCUUCGGAUCGUAAAACUCUGUUAUUAGGGAAGAACAAAUGUGUAAGUAACUAUGCACGUCUUGACGGUACCUAAUCAGAAAGCCACGGCUAACUACGUG
rnacentral:rRNA from 1 species